AUUGAACGCUGGCGGCAUGCUUUACACAUGCAAGUCGAACGGCAGCGCGGGCUUCGGCCUGGCGGCGAGUGGCGAACGGGUGAGUAAUGCAUCGGAACGCGCCCAGUAGUGGGGGAUAGCCCGGCGAAAGCCGGAUUAAUACCGCAUACGACCUGAGGGUGAAAGCGGGGGACCGAAAGGCCUCGCGCUAUUGGAGCGGCCGAUGUCGGAUUAGCUAGUUGGUGGGGUAAAGGCUUACCAAGGCGACGAUCCGUAGCUGGUCUGAGAGGACGACCAGCCACACUGGGACUGGGACACGGCCCAGACUCCUACGGGAGGCAGCAGUGGGGAAUUUUGGACAAUGGGGGCAACCCUGAUCCAGCCAUGCCGCGUGCGGGAAGAAGGCCUUCGGGUUGUAAACCGCUUUUGUUCGGGAAGAAAUCCUCUGGGCUAAUACCCCGGGGGGAUGACGGUACCGGAAGAAUAAGCACCGGCUAACUACGUG
rnacentral:rRNA from 1 species